GACGAACGCUGGCGGCGUGCUUAACACAUGCAAGUCGAACGAUGAUGCCCAGCUUGCUGGGUGGAUUAGUGGCGAACGGGUGAGUAACACGUGAGUAACCUGCCCCUGACUCUGGGAUAAGCGUUGGAAACGACGUCUAAUACUGGAUAUGAUCACUGGCCGCAUGGUCUGGUGGUGGAAAGAUUUUUUGGUUGGGGAUGGACUCGCGGCCUAUCAGCUUGUUGGUGAGGUAAUGGCUCACCAAGGCGACGACGGGUAGCCGGCCUGAGAGGGUGACCGGCCACACUGGGACUGAGACACGGCCCAGACUCCUACGGGAGGCAGCAGUGGGGAAUAUUGCACAAUGGGCGAAAGCCUGAUGCAGCAACGCCGCGUGAGGGAUGACGGCCUUCGGGUUGUAAACCUCUUUUAGUAGGGAAGAAGCGAAAGUGACGGUACCUGCAGAAAAAGCACCGGCUAACUACGUGCCAGCAGCCGCGGUAAUACGUAGGGUGCAAGCGUUGUCCGGAAUUAUUGGGCGUAAAGAGCUCGUAGGCGGUUUGUCGCGUCUGCUGUGUAAUCCCGAGGCUCAACCUCGGGCUUGCAGUGGGUACGGGCAGACUAGAGUGCGGUAGGGGAGAUUGGAAUUCCUGGUGUAGCGGUGGAAUGCGCAGAUAUCAGGAGGAACACCGAUGGCGAAGGCAGAUCUCUGGGCCGUAACUGACGCUGAGGAGCGAAAGCAUGGGGAGCGAACAGGAUUAGAUACCCUGGUAGUCCAUGCCGUAAACGUUGGGCGCUAGAUGUAGGGACCUUUCCACGGUUUCUGUGUCGUAGCUAACGCAUUAAGCGCCCCGCCUGGGGAGUACGGCCGCAAGGCUAAAACUCAAAGGAAUUGACGGGGGCCCGCACAAGCGGCGGAGCAUGCGGAUUAAUUCGAUGCAACGCGAAGAACCCUACCAAGGCUUGACAUACACCGGAAACGGCCAGAGAUGGUCGCCCCCUUGUGGUCGGUGUACAGGUGGUGCAUGGUUGUCGUCAGCUCGUGUCGUGAGAUGUUGGGUUAAGUCCCGCAACGAGCGCAACCCUCGUUCUAUGUUGCCAGCGGGUUAUGCCGGGGACUCAUAGGAGACUGCCGGGGUCAACUCGGAGGAAGGUGGGGAUGACGUCAAAUCAUCAUGCCCCUUACGUCUUGGGCUUCACGCAUGCUACAAUGGCCGGUACAAAGGGCUGCGAUACCGUAAGGUGGAGCGAAUCCCAAAAAGCCGGUCUCAGUUCGGAUUGAGGUCUGCAACUCGACCUCAUGAAGUCGGAGUCGCUAGUAAUCGCAGAUCAGCAACGCUGCGGUGAAUACGUUCCCGGGCCU
rnacentral:rRNA from 1 species